ACCUGGUUGAUUCUGCCAGUAGUCAUACGCUCGUCUCAAAGAUUAAGCCAUGCAUGUGUAAGUAUAAAUCUUGUACUUUGAAACUGCGAAUGGCUCAAUAUAUCAGUUGUAAUCUCUUCCGUAUUCCCUUACUACUUGGAUAACCGUAGUAAUUCUAGAGCUAAUACAUGCAUCAACUCCCAACUGCUUCGGCGGACGGGAUGUAUUUAUUAGAUGGAAACCAAUACCGAGUUUUCUCGGUUUUUGUGGUGAAUCAUAGUAACUGUGCGAAUCGACUUCGGUCGAUGGUUCAUUCAAGUUUCUGCCCUAUCAGCUUCGGAUGGUAGGGUAUUGGCCUACCAUGGCUUUAACGGGUAACGGAGAAUUGGGGUUCGAUUCCGGAGAGGGAGCCUGAGAAACGGCUACCACAUCCAAGGAAGGCAGCAGGCGCGUAAAUUGCCCGAAUCCUGACACAGGGAGGUAGUGACAAGAAAUAACAAUACAGGGCUAUUUUAGUCUUGUAAUUGGAAUGAGUACAAUUUAAA
rnacentral:rRNA from 1 species